AUUUCAGCAUAUGUAUGACUUAUUUAAAGACAAAUUUUAAGUAGAACUCUCUCCUAAACUUUUAUGGUAUUGUAACCUGACAACAUUGCUGGUUGUCCGAGUGUCCCCCUCCCCCCGCCCGUGUACCUUGUUGCAGCUGAGCUGGGGUUGGGAAAUAGAGGGAGCCUGUCCGCAGCUGCUGGUAGCUGAAAAAAAGCCUUCAGGGUCCUGAAUGCUUUGCUGAAGAAGACAGUGCUUCAGCAACAUCCAAAAAUAUUUAAAUAAAUGGUAUUCUAUCAUGGUUUAACACUGUGAUUAAAACUGUUUAGUGGUGACUUUUUUUUUAAUUGUGUGAUUAACCUCAAUUAAUUUUUUAAUCACUUGACGGCACUAAAAACACCCUCAACAUCAACAAACUUCUGCUCUAUGGUUUUGGUCUUGUCUACACUAAAUUUGCUGUUUUAGGGGGUUGUCACAUCCGCAUGCAUAUACCACAACCAGACUGUAACUUACACUUCAGCAGGAUUAAUACCUGGGUAAAGUUCAGCUCAAGUACCAACAUGGAUAGAGCUUAAUACAGGUAACUCAAAUAUUCCUCCAAGCACUGUCCCUAAUUCCAGUGGUCACUGCUUAAGUGUUCUGUCUAGGUUACUGUCUGCACUCCGUUGUGCAUGGAUCAACUUGGCUAGAAGUUAUGUACCCAUUCAACUAGCACUGUGCUGUGGUCUACUCUAUACUAUUGUAUUACAGAUUGAAUCAAUACAAAGUACUUUUGCAGAAACUGCUGUGGUGCCUUCUACCCAAAACAUUUUACAAACAGCAACUUAGCCUCAACACAUGCCUGUAAUGCAGGAAGUUGUCAUGACCCCAUGUGACACAUGUAGAAACUGAGGCACAGAGGCUAAGUGGCACAGUCAGAAAUAGAAUCCAGAUAACCUGCUUCCCCAUUCUUGCAGUCACAGACAAAUGAAGUGGGUUGGGGAGAGAACAUAAAGGCUAACAGUUACAUAGAACCCAAAGCAAAAUAUUCUAAGAGCUGUAUUAGGAAACUGUCAUAAAUAUAAAGGGAAGGGUAAACACCUUUAAAAUCCCUCCUGGCCAGAGGAAAAACCCUUUCACCUGUAAAGGGUUAAGAAGCUAGGAUAACCUUGCUGGCACCUGACCAAAAUGACCAAUGAGGGGACAAGAUACUUUCAGAAGCAACCACCGCCUCUCAGCUUUUCUAAUCGAUCCAGGUUUGUUGUAGAAAGAGGACUUUUAUACAAGGAAACUCUUUCUGGUGGACACCAGGAAGACUGGCAUCCUCAGAGACAGUUGGUAGUUCCAACUAAGUACCGGUCAAGCUCUUGAGCUUAGCCCACGAUCAUCCUAGUGGCCAUGCUGGGGUGAACAGGACCAAAGACCGUUUGGGGAGCUCAUUCCACUGGGAGGGAAUGGGCAAGGAUGUUUCUACCUAUGUCCGGUCUUGUGAGGUAUGCCAAAGAGUGGGAAAACCCCAAGACCAGGUCAAAGCCCCUCUCCAGCCACUCCCCAUCAUUAAAGUCCCAUUUCAGCAAGUAGCUGUGGAUGUUCUGGGUCCUUUUCAGAAAAAGACACCCAGAGGAAAGCAGCACAUACUGACUUUCAUGGAUUUUGCCACCCUUUGGCCGGAAGCAGUAGCUCUAAGCAACACCAGGGCUAAAAGUGUGUGCCAGGCACUAGCAGACAUUUUUGCCAGGAUAGGUUGGCCCUCCGACAUCCUCACAGAUGCAGGAACUAAUUUCCUGGCAGGAACUAUGGAAAGCCUUUGGGAAGCUCCAGGGGUAAAUUACUUGAUUGCCACUCCUUACCACCAUCAAACCAAUGGCAUGGUGGAGAAGUUUAAUGGAACUUUGGGGGCCAUGAUACAUAAAUUCAUAAAUGAGCACUCCAAUGAUCGGGACCUGGUGUUGCAGCAGUUGCUCUUUGCCCUACAGAGCUGUACCACAUCCCAGUUUAGGGUUUUCACCAUUUGAACUUGUAUAUGGUCGCGAGGUUAAGGGGCCAUUAUAGUUGGUGAAGCAGCAAUGGGAGGGAUUUACACCUUCUCCAGGAACUAACAUUCUGGACUUUGUAACCAACCUACAAAACACCCUCCGAACCUCUCUAGCCCUUGCUAAAGAAAACUUACAGGAUGCUCAAAAAGAGCAAAAAGCCUAGUAUGAUAAACAUUCCAGAAAGCGUUCCUUCAAAGUAGGAGACAAGGUCAUGGUCUUAAAGGCGCUCCAGGCCCAUAAAAUGGAAGCGUCGUGGGAAGGGCCAUUCAUGGUCCAGGAGCGCCUGGGAGCUGUUAAUUAUCUCAUAGCAUUCCCCACCUCCAACCGAAAGCCUAAGGUGUACCAUAUUAAUUCUCUAAAGCCCUUUUAUUCCAGAGAAUUAAAAGGUUUGUCAGUUUACAGCCCAGGGAGGAGACGACGCUGAGUGGCCUGAUGGUGUCUACUACAAAGGGAAAAGUGCUGGUGGUGUGGAAGAGGUGAACCUCUCCAUGACCCUUGGGCGUAUGCAGCGACAGCAGAUCCAGGAGCUGUGCACCAGCUACGCGCCGACGUUCUCAGCCACCCCAGGACUGACUGAAUGGGCAUACCACUCCAUUGACACAGCUGGAUUUUGGGGCUGCUGUUGCUUGUAACCAAGAAAAAUGGAAACUGGCCAGUCUGUCAGUAAAUCCUUGUGUGUUCAGAGUGGGUGAUUGGACUCUAUGCUGUUUAGUUCAUCCUUAAGCAAACAUCCAGGUCCUUUAACACAAGCAGCCAAUAUGAACAGCAGUGGUCUCCAAAGUGGGGUGCGCCAGAGGAUCCCAGGGGGUGCGCGGCAGGAGGAGCAUCGCCGGACGGCACUCCGCUGUUGUUUUUCUUCGGUGGCAGCUCUGCAUGCCUGCAGCAGGUCUUCCCCUCUGCUUUCUUCAGUGCCACCGUGGGGGUGCGUGAUCCAAAAACUUUGGAGACCACUGGUCUACAGGAUAGUAUGCCUGGCAAUACUCCUAAGUGGACUGUCCUUCUGCUGGGCAGAUUCAAAGGCAAUUCAGAGCUGUCAAUCAGGAAGCCCACUGCUCUGUAGGUCCACCCCAUAACUUCAUGCUUCUGACUGCUAAAGUUGAAUAAAGGAAUGGAAAUAUUAAUAAAGUUUGCUUCUGCCUGACUUCCUGCUGGCAAAGGCAGGACUCUGUUUCUAUGCAGCCAGGGGAUGAUCUGCAGAGCCUGGGCUCGCUGAUUGUCAGCUUUGAAUUGCCUUUGAAUCUGCCCAGCGUGACAGAGAACUUUCUUAUGAAGAAUACAGAUGUGUUCUCAUAAGAGAACUAGCCCCUAGGUUUACUUUGUAUUAAUAUUUUAGAAGCAAAGCAAGUUUUACAGAGGCUCUGUGGCUAUUUCUCUCUAAUAUCCUUUCUGAUUCUGGAAUGUUUGACUAGUUACACAUGAGACUUUGAUGUCCUUAUAUAUAUUUAAGAAUACAAAAAAUAGAAGUCUGGAUUGGAAUAAAGGAAGCAGUCAUGCAGAUCAAUGUUUAACAUUUUGGGAUCUUUCCCCAAAAUUGGUGGAAAUUAAGGAUUACACACAAUUAGUUUUUCUAAAUCUGCUAUACGAGAUUAAAUAUUUAUCAAGACAGCAUCCAUACAAUUGUAGGAGAACUAUUUGUAAAGUUUUAACUGUAUGUUAUAAUAAAGUGUUUUACACCCAAACUUACCUCCACAUUAAAAAAACCCCAUCACCAGAGCAGAAUAUAAAUCUUAAUGUAGAAAGUAUUUGUUCUUGUGAAUUAUUUUUUAGGCAGCCAAGAGGAAAUUGCACGUAAAGGAUUAUGCAUAUAGAGGAGUCCAGCCUCACAUCCUAAAUAUGGCCCUAGUGUAGCAAGUGUGAAUAAACUGAACUGAAACAUGAGCUAGGACAGCUCCUAUGGAAAAACAGAUACAGCACAUUGCCAGAGAGUACCCACAGUGAUUACAUGGUAUGUAUGCACCAAACAUGCUGCAUACUUACAUGGCUAAAGGAAAAAAAGGCAACCUGCAUUUAAUUCUUUCUGAAACAUAGUCUUUCCUCAAUUUGUUUUUGGCACAAAACAUGAGGCAGUGAUUGUUAUCACAAAUGGGGCUUCCAAAAAAACCUGUCACCCAGACACAUUACCAGCUCUCUAUGAGAAAAGUUAAUUGAAUUUGAUUAAUUCCCAUUGGAUUAGCUGAAUAAACAACUCUUUUGAAGCUAGUAAUAAAUCUGUAAUAAUCAGCUGUAUUUAUAAUCCAUGUAGCUUUGUUAAAUACAACUGGGACACUGUAACAGAUUUUAAACAUAAAUUAAUAAUUCUGGGAAAGUUCCAAAGUAAAUCACCACAACAGCAAAGCUGUGCAGUGUAUUCUCUGAAUUGCAUGACUUCUAUCAAAGCUUUUGGCAUCUUAAACUGAUAAUGUUUUAUUAGAGAACUCCCUCACAAAACAUUCAAGGUUAAAGCCUUGUUAGAUGGCAAUUGCAAAAACUGAUUAGCCUUUUUGAAAAAUGCUCCACAGCUGCACAUAAUUUGAUCCUUGUAUUAUAACCAGUAUCUGCUUCCCCAGGCACUUUAUAGAUACUAAGUGUUGUUGCCAUCUUGAUUUUAAAGUUCCUCCUACAGAAGGCUCUCUAAACAUGUUAAAUGUUAAGGCCAACAUUUUAUAACGGGUGGGCAAACUUUUUGGCAUGAGGGCCAUAUUGGGUUUCCAAAAUUGUAUGGAGGGCCGGCCCCUGCUCCCAUCCACCUCCCCACGCUUCUUGCCCCCUGCCUCAUCCAUUUUACCUUGUGAGUGAGGCUACUUCAGAUAAUAGCCUCACUGAAUUAUGUUUCUAACAAAACAAAAUGCUCAUUCUGAAGAUUUUGUGAGUAGACAUUUCAUAUAUACAAAGAUUAAUAAUUUUAAUUUAUUUCAUUAUAGAAGGCAAUGCAUCAUUCUGAGAAGGAACAACUGACCUUGGUAGGCUUAAAAAAAACAAUAAACUAUUGAGAGAUGAAAAAAACCAAUCUCAAGCAAAUUGGUUUUGUUUUUUUUAAACUGAUCAGUGUUAGAAAUAAGGAAGAAUAUGACUAAAUUGCUCCAUAAACUGAUGCUUGUGGGCUAUAAUCAAUCCUAAUUUGAAUUUUUUUCCCUAUAUCUACAUGGGUUGUUUAAAAGUAAAGACUAGUUAAUACAAGAGCUUUCAGGCGGUAACACUGUGUUGGGGAAAUAAUUUACAAGUUUAAAAAAUGAACAAUAAAAAAUAUAGUUUUUCAGUUCUAUGUAUCAGAGAUGCAAAACAGUGGCGGAAUGCUCAGUUCGUCCUGCUCAUGGGAGUUAUAAUUAACAGAACACAAUAUUUAUUGCUCACAUUAUUCUCCUGUGUUAAAAUGAUGGUGUAAAUAUGUUAAAAACUUUCUCCCUCUUUUACUAAUUAUUCUAUAAGGACCAGACACUAAGAAACCAGCUCAUGGGAAUCUCUUUUUAAAAUUCAUUUUCUACGCAUUCCUCUUGAAAUGUUUUUGCUGAUUUCUCCUCAGAUAUUCCUGUUUCGUAUGUUGUCAGAAGCUUUACCUUUAGAGCACCCCUUUCUGGGUGCUUCUUUUGCCCCAACACCUUUCUCUUGCAGCAGGAUUUGCUAUAGUGUUGGUCCAAAGAGGGGGCUGUGUCCCCUGAGUUGUAAAUAUCAGGGAAGCAGUUCCUUCCUCCCUCCCUGUACAGUUCUGUAACUCACAAAAAGUCCAGCUUUGCCCUAUUCUCCUUGCAAGGCAAUGGGGUCAGUUGUCAGGGCUGGGUUUCUAACCCCUUGUCAGGCUGAGGGACCAGGCUGAGUUUCCUGGGCUCUAAGUAAAA